AACGAACGCUGGCGGCAGGCCUAACACAUGCAAGUCGAGCGAAGCCUUCGGGCUUAGCGGCGGACGGGUGAGUAACGCGUGGGAACGUGCCCUUUGCUACGGAAUAGCCCCGGGAAACUGGGAGUAAUACCGUAUGUGCCCUUCGGGGGAAAGAUUUAUCGGCAAAGGAUCGGCCCGCGUUGGAUUAGGUAGUUGGUGGGGUAAUGGCCUACCAAGCCGACGAUCCAUAGCUGGUUUGAGAGGAUGAACAGCCACACUGGGAAUGAGACACGGCCCAGACUCCUACGAGAGGCAGCAGUGGGGAAUCUUAGACAAUGGGGGAAACCCUGAUCUAGCCAUGCCGCGUGAUCGAUGAAGGCCUUAGGGUUGUAAAGAUCUUUCAGUGGGGAAGAUAAUGACUGUACCCACAGAAGAAGCCCCGGCUAACUCCGUGCCAGCAGCCGCCGUAAAAC
rnacentral:rRNA from 1 species